AAUCAGGAACAGCAGCUGCUGGAGCGAGACAGGGUGAAGAACUGAAGAUUGAGGGGAUUGCCUUUCCCUCCUGUUGAGAGGCAAAAGCUCUGAUUGGCUCUGUCUAGGAGCAGGAAGUUGUGACAACCCAUGAUUCCUACGGAUACAACCCUCUUCUGAGGGAGAAUUCCUCUAAUAUCUUGUGAAUAAUAAUGGACUAAGAUGCAGCGGAACAUUGUUCUCAACCGUCAGUUCUUUGGUGAGCAUUUUCCAAUGUGGGCUGUUGGACAUAAAGCUGGAGUAAACGUGGAAGGAGGCCUAAAGGGAAUAUUACAUGGCGUCUGGUCUCUAAAAAAAUAUCCGUGAUAGGUUUGGAGAGGAAGGAGCUCAUUUCACUGCAACCAUCUGCCAUGAGAAAGUGUCUCUUCCCCCAACAUUGAAACAAGGGGUGGCUUUACACCUGCCGGUGUCCCCUCGGCAGGACGGGUUCAAGUCCCGAAAAAGGUGGAAUGUUUCCUUGGAUCUCCUGAGAAACAAGAUUCUUCUAGGAGGGGAAGCGAACUGCACACUAAAUAUCAUCAUGUUAAGCAAAUUCAUAAUGCGGCAUUAUCGACCCUUGAGACGUCCAUAAUGCUGGGGAAAGCUGAAGGAAAGAGAAGAGGAUGACCAGCAACAAGGUGGAUGGACUCGAUUAUGACAGCAUUGAAUUAAAAGACUUGAUUACAACAGCAAUGAAUUACAACAGCAACCUUAAAGGCCAAGUUGAAGACAGAUAAUCCUGGAGAGAAUCUAUCUAUGUGGUCGCUAAGUGUCAACACCGACUUGAUGGCAUUUAAUCAAAUUCAUCUGCUGGUUAAGCUUUGUUGGUGUUAUAUUAACAUUUAGACCCUUACAGAGAUAGAAUGAACAGCUCUGAAACACAUCCUGGAAAAUAGGGGUGUGCAUAUGUGGGGCGAGGAGGGCGGGAAGAUUCAGCCUUCCACUUUCAGGAAUAGACUGUUUUGGUGACUUUUAAAGAUAGUAAUUUUCCUUUCCAUCAUGUACUUAUAACAUAUAAUGUGACAAUUAAUACAUGUCUUAAGAGAAUAUUUGUAAAAUCGGAUGGAAGCAAAAGGCUAUCUAGUAGCCACUGUUCCCUUUAACAGGGAUUCCCAGAUGUUGACGACUACAAUUCGUAGAAUCCCCAGCUGCAAUAGCUUUUGCUUGGGGAUUAUGGGAGUUGUAGUCAACAACAUCUGGGAAUCCCUGUUAGAAGGAACACUGCUAGUAGCCUCCAACUAUGAGGCAUCAUCAUCCACCUACCAGCUUUUACAAUUAACCAAACAAAUCCAAGUCACCACACGUAGAGAGCUAGCAUUCAGCAGUGCUAAAGACCCACACCCUGGGUCUGCAUAAUGACACUUAACCAGGGCUUCCUAUGCACUCUGAUGCACAAAGCUCAUCCUCAGGUUCUCCAUUAACUUGAGCGGAGUAGGCAGUUCUUAGUGCUCAUUGCUGACCACAUGGAGCUGCCUGUACAUCAAAGCAAACCAAGCAACUCUUAGGGAUGGGGCUCUAGCUCAGUUGUAGAGCAUCUGCUUUACAUGCAGAAGGUUCCAGGUUCAAUUCCUGGUAUCUCUAGGUAGGGCUGGGAGAGACUCCUGCCUGAAACCUUGGAGAGCCACUGCCCGCCAGUGCGGACAAUAAUGUGCUAGAUGGACCAAUGGUCUGAUGCUUCUGUUCACCCAGGCUUUUAACUGAUAUUGUUUUGAUUGUUUUAAUGUUGUUUUUAGAAUAUUAUUUUAAAAUUUUAAAUUCCGUUUUAAAUGUCUUGUUUUUAAAUGUCUUGUUUUU